UAUUGGCAGAGACAACACAGAUGGAUAGAGUUGAGGUGUCUCAGUGUGACAGACCCGUAACCUCACUGCUCUUAGCUGUGGCCUGUUGCUGGAUGGCCUGUGUCUUCUGGAUGUCUGCUUUUCUGGCUGCUAACAAAGAGCAAGUGGCCAACAGCUAAGGCAAGAUAAAGCUUUCUCUGGUAGCUGGGGUGCUGCAC
rfam:Ictidomys tridecemlineatus contig119157, whole genome shotgun sequence.